GGCUCGCUUGUACAGUUCUUCAGUGCACAGCUCUUCUGCUCCCUCGUGUUUGCGCUUUGGAGACGCCUGGUCAGACUGCGGCAGUCUGACUGCUGUACUGGUGCUGCUGCCCUGCCCCGGAGCUGAGUCUGUAACUGGGCCACUGAGGUCUUCCACACAUGAAGGGACUGAUGCCAAUAAACAGAGCCCCCUGUAGCGUGAUAGUUGCUGGUAGAUCUGCU
rnacentral:lncRNA from 1 species